CCAAAUCGUACUAAACCCUUAUUUUCCCCAAUUCUUCUGCGAAGUAUCCAUCUCCAAUUCAACCGUCUUCCGACCCCAUCACCAUCCGCCCCUACUCGUGGCCGUCUAUUCGCUCUGACGUGCCCAUCUGUUCACUUUGGUGUUGUCAUUAAAGAACUCCGAACCUUUUCAAUUCGUUCUCGUUGUCUCCGGCACUGCCAUUCGUGUCUGUCGUCACCUCCUCUGCCGGUCUUGCACCAAUAACCGAUUGAUCUACUGUAAUGAUGAAGCUACGUACCAAGCAAGUGAUUGAUAUUUGGUUAGUGACAAGACUUGUUGUAAACUACAUAAAACAUAAAUACAAUAAUCCAAUUAUCAUCAUAAUUGAGAACAGUAUAUACAUCAAAAGGCUAUAAACAUUGUAGGAUUGUGAUGAAGUUUUCAAUUGGAAGGAAAGUUGCAGUUCAUGAGACAGUGUAGCCUAUCCCGACAUGGUAAUGCCGACAAACUUACUGACGUGGUUUUCUACGUCGAGAUAGCCUAUCCCAAUAUGCAUAUAGAAAAACCAUGGAUAAAAAAAAAUUAUUACAAUCACAAAGAAUAAUUUUCUCAUGGGCUUUUACGUUUGGUUACUAAGAUUGUAAACAUAUUUGGUGUUUUGUUA